GCUGGGUGUGGUGGCUCACCCCUGUAAUUCCAGCACCUGGGAGGCUGGGGCGGGUGGAUCACCUGAGGUCAGGAGUUUGAGACCAGCCUGACCAACAUGGUGAAAACCUGUCUCUA
rnacentral:SRP_RNA from 1 species